rnacentral:rRNA from 1 species
AGGAAGCACCGGCUAACUCCGUGCCAGCAGCCGCGGUAAUACGGAGGGUGCAAGCGUUGUUCGGAUUUAUUGGGCGUAAAGCGCGUGUAGGCGGGCUUGUAAGUCAGAUGUGAAAGCCUUCUGCUUAACAGGAGAAGUGCAUUUGAAACUACAAGUCUUGAGUAUGGGAGAGGAGAGUGGAAUUCCCAGUGUAGAGGUGAAAUUCGUAGAUAUCGGGAGGAACACCUGAGGCGAAGGCGGCUUUCUGGACUGGUCCUGACGCUGAUAUUCGAAAGCUAGGGGAGCAAACAGGAUUAGAUACCCUGGUAGUCCUAGCUGUAAACGAUGGAUACUAGAUCUUGCAUGAAUUUGCUUGGUCGAAGCUAACGCG